rnacentral:sRNA from 1 species
GAUAGAGGAAUGAAGGCUAAAACCAUCAUAUCUGUGAUAACGCCUUCGUGACCAACCUUGUGUUGG